UUGUGCUAAGGUGCAUCUAGUGCAGAUAGU
ensembl:miRNA MIR18A microRNA 18a